rnacentral:rRNA from 1 species
AUUGAACGCUGGCGGCAUGCUUUACACAUGCAAGUCGAACGGUAACAGGGAGCUUGCUCCGCUGACGAGUGGCGAACGGGUGAGUAAUGCAUCGGAACGUACCCAGUCGUGGGGGAUAACGUAGCGAAAGUUACGCUAAUACCGCAUACGUCCUGAGGGAGAAAGCGGGGGACCGAAAGGCCUCGCGCGAUUGGAGCGGCCGAUGUAGGAUUAGCUAGUUGGUAGGGUAAAGGCCUACCAAGGCGACGAUCCGUAGCGGGUCUGAGAGGAUGAUCCGCCACACUGGGACUGAGACACGGCCCAGACUCCUACGGGAGGCAGCAGUGGGGAAUUUUGGACAAUGGGCGAAAGCCUGAUCCAGCCAUGCCGCGUGAGUGAAGAAGGCCUUCGGGUUGUAAAGCUCUUUUCCUAGCCGGAAAGGAAAUACGCACAGGCUAAUAC